rnacentral:rRNA from 1 species
GAUGAACGCUAGCGAUAGGCCUAAUACAUGCAAGUCGUACGAGAAUUAUUUUUUCGUGGCGGACGGGUGAGUAAUACACGAGAAUUUACAUUUAGGAUGGGGAUAGCUGUUGGAAACGACUAGUAAAACCCAAUAUGCCAGUAAUGGUGAAAAGAGUAAUCUGCCUAGAUAAGAGCUCGUGCCUGAUUAGCUUGUUGGUGGGGUAAAAGCCUACCAAGGCGAGGAUCAGUAGUUGGUUUUAGCGGAUGAUCAACCACACUGGAACUGAGACACGGUCCAGACUUCUACGGAAGGCAGCAGUAGGGAAUCUUCUGCAAUGGGCGCAAGCCUGACAGAGCAAUAUCGCGUGAGGGAUGAAUGUCUUCGGAUUGUAAACCUCUUUUUUCAAGGAGGAAGAUUUGACGUGUACUUGAAGAAUAAGCAUCGGCUAACUACG